rnacentral:rRNA from 1 species
ACAGCAGCAGCCACGGGAAUACGUAGGUGGCAAGCGCUGUCCGGAAUUAUUGGGCGCAAAGGGCUCGCAGGCGGUUUCUUAAGUCUGAUGUGAAAGCCCCCGGCUCAACCGGGGAGGGUCAUUGGAAACUGGGAAACUUGAGUGCAGAAGAGGAGAGUGGAAUUCCACGUGUAGCGGUGAAAUGCGUAGAGAUGUGGAGGAACACCAGUGGCGAAGGCGACUCUCUGGUCUGUAACUGACGCUGAGGAGCGAAAGCGUGGGGAGCGAACAGGAUUAGAUACCCGCGUAGUCCCUGUCUCUUAUAC